CACACAGGCUGACAAAAUGUGGAGCCUGACUGAAAGUCUUGUGGAGCUCCUGCAGGAAAAAGAGAGCGACAUGAUCAGGAUGACCAUUCUUCUACUCAGAUAUUUAUUUCUGGAUAAUGGUGCCCCAAUACCCACCUCCAUCACCCUGCAGCUGGCUGAGGCGCUCCUGCCACUCUUUGACCGCAAUGAUAGCCAGGUGCAGCUGAGCUCCAUGACUCUAUUUCAAGAGAUGCUGGAGUUAUUAAUGGAAGAUGGAAAAAAGGCCCUGAAGUCACACGUGUUCCAGAGCCUGCUGCCACUCUCCUUCCACUGCCAUGAUGAGAAUCAGAUUGUUGCUGAGGCUUCCCGGGAAACACUGCAUUCUUCAGCCAGAUUCCUGAAGAGGAGGGAUAUCGAACAAAUGCUACAGGUGGAUCAGACAUGGAGGUUUGGCGAGGCCCUGGUAAGGACGACUGAGAAUCCCCAGCCUCAGCC